AGAACACAAACAUUCAGCCCAGAUAUGGAGAGGCAGCUGGGUAUUUACAUUACCCAACAGAGCAAAGAGGCUGCUGAGUGUGCUAAAUGCUCUCCAAAUGCCCAAGGGGCACCCUCAAGAUUUGAACAUGCAAACAGAGGAGCUUAAUCAUGGAUACUGAGAACCAGAAUGAUUCCAUUUAUAGCAGUAAAGUCCUGAAAGGCAAGCUGAGUAAUAUCCCGUUGUGUAUAUGUACGACAACUUGCUUAUCCAUUUGUCUGCUGAUGGACAUGCUUCCAUGUCCUGGCUACUGUAAACAGUGCUGCAGUGAACAUCGGGGUACAUGUGUCUUCCCUGU
ensembl:lncRNA